UCGGACGUCUUCGGCGUUCGAAU
rnacentral:snRNA from 1 species